rnacentral:rRNA from 1 species
UGGGGAAUUUUGCACAAUGGGGGAAACCCUGAUGCAGCGACGCCGCGUUAUUUAGAAGGCCUUCGGGUUGUAAAAAUCUUUUCUAUGGGAAGAAAAUGACAGUACCAUAGGAAUAAGGACCGGCUAAUUACGUGCCAGCAGCCGCGGUAAUACGUAAGGUCCGAGCGUUGUCCGGAAUCAUUGGGCGUAAAGGGUACGUAGGCGGGUAAGCAAGUUGGAAGUGAAAUCCUAUAGCUCAACUAUAGUAAGCUUUUAAAACCGCUCAGGUUGGGGUAUGGAAGGGGAAGGGGCAUUUCUAGUGUAGCGGUGAAAUGCGCAAAUAUUAGGAGGAAUACCGGUGGCGAAGGCGACUUUCUGGCCAUAACCUGACGCUGAGGUACGAAAGCGUGGGUAGCAAACAGG